GAGAUGAUAGAGGAGCUGGUUAUGAAAGAGAUGUGCCCAGAGAAAAAGAUGGCGGGCGCGAUCAUGAUUGGUCAGAAAGGAGACAUCGUGAUGACAAAGAUGUCGGAAGAGACAGGGAAAGGGAGCGUGACAGGGAUCGUGAGCGGUCCCUAGACCAUGAACGUGGCCGUGAACGGGAACGGGAACGGGAACGCCAUAGGGACGAUAGAGACAGAUAUGCAGAUCAUCAUAGGCACAGGAAUCGUGAAGCGGAAUAUGAUGAUGAAUGGGACAGGGGAAGAUCAAGGACUCAUAGCAAGUCAAGGGUGUCCCAUGAGGAAGAGCAUAGAUCCAGAUCAAGGGAUGCUGAUUAUGGGAAAAGGCGACGCCUAACCUCUGAAUAACUCAGAUGCAUUGCAGAAUGUUCUAGGAUUUAGUUCAUCAGAAAAAAAAAAAAAAAAAAAAAAAAAAGACUAGACACUAAAUAAAUGAUGUUAACCAUGAUCAUCCAGAGUCUAUUGCUAGCUGCUUUGUUGGAUGCCUGACACAUUGGAACUAUUUUGCUUUUUGAUAUUGUUCAAGGCUUCAGUGUUCUGAUGAGACCUUUGAAAGACACAGCUUAUUAGCGAGCAUGAUUCAACUGGAAGGAUAUGAAUUUUCAUCUGAAGCAGUUCAGCUGAAGUCUGGAUUCUUGGAAAAUAGAUGGGACAUAAAGCUUCUAGUUAAGAGAGGAUGAGAUGGCAUGGUGACACCUCUUAGCAUGCUAGUGGAACCCUUUUCUCUUUCAGUUUUCAGACAUUUCAUUUAUGUUUGAGUUUUAAUAUGGCUUUAAACAAAUGUUAUGGAUGAUGGGUUAAAAUGCUGAAGUCUGAGAUAUGGUGGAUGUUUAAGAAUAUGUUAUUGUAUGAAUGUGAUGUAUUAGAUUAAAGACACAGGAUGUUGCGAUUUUUGCCCCCUUUUUUGUUUUCAUUUUUGUUGUAAUUCUUUACCCCUUGUUUUUUGUCGGGUAUAUCAUGUUUGAUCGCUGCAAUUUUCUUGUUUCAAAGAUGAUGUAGAGUGCUAACUGUAGUCCUUUAACCUGUGUAAAUCUGGGGUUUGUAUAUAGAAAUCGCAUGUAUAUAGGAAAGCCAUCUCUUUGUACAAAAAUAUGUAUUCUUUUGUACAUACGCAAUCACAUCUAUGUAUAUUUGUGGUUUUGUAA